UUCAGUAAAGAGUAGUUUACAUAUCAAGAAAUUAAUAAAGAGUAGUUUUGAUUAUGUGAAAUAAUUGUUAGAUUUAUAAAAAGGAAAAAAUAUAACUUUUAUAGCUUUUGACACUUUUUCAUACUUACUUAAAAUGUAAAUUUUUAUAAUUUUUUACGUGUUAGUUAAACUGUAUAAAUUUUAUGGUUUCAGAAUUCUCCAUAUUUUAUUUACACUCUAUAAAUUUUAUGGUUUCAAAAAUCCCACAUUUCUAGUUAAUAUUUGUAACUAUUAUAACUUCAAAAUUCCCGCGUUUUUAACCAAAAACAAAAAGAAGUAAAAUAAGACAAUGAUAUAUGGCAUAUAUAAUAUUUGUUCAUCUGAUCAUAUUUUUUUUGCAUAAACUUUUGAAAGCGUUCAGCUAUAGGCUUUUGAUUCUUAUUUUAUUUUACUAGAUAGAGUUUACAUGAUGAGAGGCUUUGAGACACCUUCAUUUACCUUUAAUCCCUUUAACUUGGAAACCACAAGCAAUUUGUAUUAGAAAAUUACAAAUUUUAUCAACUUUCGUAUGUACAGAGCCAUAAACAUUAUACACAUAAAAAGAUUGAUCUCUUCAGAAUUUAUUUAAUCAGACGUUCAAAAAAAGAAAGGGACAGUAAUAAUUUAGUUAAUAAAGUUAUGGAAAAAGAUGAAAUGGAUCUGACACCAUAUCCAUCAUCCUCUGGCAGAUUCAGUGAUACCUCAAACCCUAUAGACCGGUUUGAGAGUAUUAUGAGAGCAACACAAGGCGCAUUGAUUGUUGCUUCAACCCUACAGAUGAUUCUUGGUUUCAGUGGCCUCUGGCGCAAUGUUGUUAGGUUAAGUCUAAAAGGAAGGAAAUAGUCUCAAACAUUCGUCUUCCUACCACAAUAUUAUUUACAAUACCAUGUAAAAUUUUCAUUUUGUGAAUUCGUUUUCAGGUUCUUAAGCCCUAUCUCAGCUGUUCCACUGGUGGGUCUGGUACGAGUUUGGUUUCCCAGGGGUAAAGUCUACUCUAGAAGAUGCCACUCAAACACUAACUAUCAAACAAUAUAAACGAGAAUGUUAAUUUCUGUGUUACAUUCCAGGUUGCUAAGUGCGUAGAGAUUGGGCUGCCUGAGCUUCUUAUUCUAGUAUUUGUUUCACAGUAUCUGCCUCAUGUGAUCAAAUUAGGGGAAAAUGUGUUCGACCGGUUUGCUGCGAUAUUCGCUGUGGUGAUUGUAUGGAUCUAUGCUCACCUUUUUACAGUUGGUGGAGCAUACAAUGGUGCUGCACCAACUACGCAAACAAGCUGCCGGACUGAUCGUGCUGGCAUCGUAGGUGCUGCCCCAUGGGUUGUUUGGUACUGGUGCUGGCUCCUCUGUCUCGAUGUAAGCAUCUCUCAGAUGAUACUUGAUUCUUGCAGAGAAAUUGCUGGACUAUUAGCCGCCCUGACAAGAGUUGGUAGUAGAAGGGUUGUCCAGAUAGCUGCAGGCUUCAAAGAGUACACACUGCAAUCAAAGCCUAUGGUCCUGUCCAC